CCUACGGGUGGCUGCAGUGAGGAAUAUUGGUCAAUGGACGAGAGUCUGAACCAGCCAAGUAGCGUGAAUGAUGACUGCCCUAUGGGUUGUAAACUUCUUUUAUAUGGGAACAAAAAGUUCCAAGUGUGGGAUUUUGUAUGUACCAUAUGAAUAAGGAUCGGCUAACUCCGUGCCAGCAGCCGCGGUAAUACGGAGGAUCCGAGCGUUAUCCGGAUUUAUUGGGUGUAAAGGGAGCGUAGGUGGAUUGUUAAGUCAGUUGUGAAAGUUUGCGGCUCAACCGUAAAAUUGCAGUUGAAACUGGCAGUCUUGAGUACAGUAGAGGUGGGCGGAAUUCGUGGUGUAGCGGUGAAAUGCUUAGAUAUCACGAAGAACUCCGAUUGCGAAGGCAGUUCACUGGACUGCAACUGACACUGAGGCUCGAAAGUGUGGGUAUCAAACAGGAUUAGAUACCCUUGUAGUC
rnacentral:rRNA from 1 species